rnacentral:sRNA from 1 species
UUUGUCCCACCAUUUCAUUCGUCGGC